AUUGAACGCUGGCGGCAGGCUUAACACAUGCAAGUCGAGCGGAGAUGAGGUGCUUGCACCUUAUCUUAGCGGCGGACGGGUGAGUAAUGCUUAGGAAUCUGCCUAUUAGUGGGGGACAACAUUCCGAAAGGAAUGCUAAUACCGCAUACGUCCUACGGGAGAAAGCAGGGGAUCUUCGGACCUUGCGCUAAUAGAUGAGCCUAAGUCGGAUUAGCUAGUUGGUGGGGUAAAGGCCUACCAAGGCGACGAUCUGUAGCGGGUCUGAGAGGAUGACCCGCCACACUGGGACGGAGACACGGCCCAGACUCCUACGGGAGGCAGCAGUGGGGAAUAUUGGACAAUGGGGGAAACCCUGAUCCAGCCAUGCCGCGUGUGUGAAGAAGGCCUUAUGGUUGUAAAGCACUUUAAGCGAGGAGGAGGCUACUGAGACUAAUACUCUUGGAUAGUGGACGUUACUCGCAGAAUAAGCACCGGCUAACUCUGUGCCAGCAGCCGCCGUAA
rnacentral:rRNA from 1 species